AAGACACUAGUAAAACGAACAUUACACUGCCUUGUCAAGGCAGAAUUGCGGGUUGAACCCCCGCGUGUCUUGACCCCCCCCCC
rnacentral:tRNA from 1 species